AUGGUGUGGAACCCUAGGAUGAAUGCUGACGCCCCUAUGCUCUCAGUUUGGCACGACGGCAUCCACCGGCGGGCGCCGCCCCAAGCAAGUCACGGGCUAAGCAGAUCUUAUAUGCUAGAGCAGCUAGUCAACCACGUGAUCAGUAGCAACAAGCAGCAGUACGACACCACAAGUUCCUGGCACAUGGAGCCAACCAGUUACUUGAUAAUGCAUAUGAACGAAGAAGAGUUUGGCACACCCAAAAAGAAUGCAACCAUACCCCUAGCUUGUUUGUCUUUUACACCUGAAUGUGAUGAGAAUUUGGAAUCUAAAGUAGGCAUGACAUUUGAAGGACUUGAGGCAGUAGAGAAGUUCUACAAGGCAUAUGCACAUAAUGCGGGUUUUGGAGUUCGUAUUAGACAACAAAAGAAGAUUGAGAAUAAGGUGGUACAAACUAAGCGUUUUAUGUGUAAUGGGGAAGGAUUCAAGUCCAAAGAUAGCAAGGAGAUCGAUAACCCCUCGAAGAAAAAGCGUAAGCAGCCAAACACACGAUGUGGUUGUGAUGCACACAUCUUUGUCAGACUUUGUGGGGAGAACACGUACAAGAUAAAUUCAUGGGUUGAGCACCACACUCACGGUCUUACCUUCCUAAAAGCAAUGGGAGGGGUAUCACCUAGACUUAUCAUAACAGAUGAAGCCAGUAGCAUGAAGAUUGCUAUUGACGGAGUUCUUCCAACCACCAUGCAUAGGUUGUGGAUGUGGCAUAUAAUGGAAAAGGGUAUUACUCAAGGUGAGGGGGUGAAAAUGGUGACCCUGCAAGGUGGAUCUGGUAAGGUUAGGGAGGGAGAGUAUUUUGGUGAACACGGGAAUCUACUAGAAGAAAAGCCCACUGAUGCUUUGGACGCGGCCACGAGAGAGAAGAUUUCAACUAUACGUAACAAGAUGGAAGAUAUGAUUCAAAAGGCGAGGCACUCAGAUGUAGGCAUGGACUUCUUAACAUCAAGUUUGUUGAAAAUAUAG
rnacentral:rRNA from 1 species